GGCCUACGGGGGGCAGCAGUGGGGAAUAUUGCACAAUGGGGGAAACCCUGAUGCAGCAAUGCCGCGUGGGUGAAGAAGUACUCCGGUAUGUAAAGCCCUGUCAGCAGGGAAGAAAAUGACGGUACCUGACUAAGAAGCCCCGGCUAACUACGUGCCAGCAGCCGCGGUAAUACGUAGGGGGCGAGCGUUAUCCGGAUUUACUGGGUGUAAAGGGAGCGUAGACGGCCGUGCAAGUCUGAUGUGAAAACCCGGGGCUCAACCCCGGGACUGCAUUGGAAACUGCAUGGCUGGAGUGUCGGAGAGGC
rnacentral:rRNA from 1 species